CUGCCAUAUUGAUCCCAUUUCAUUUAUUUUUGUCCCCGUUUCCGUUACAAAGAUUUCCUUUUAUUUGUUUCCAUUCAAUAUUGUUUGUGUCUUUGUGAUACAUAGUGAGACGUGUUUAUAACCCCAGAGAGACCUAAUCGAUCGAAAUUCCCUCAAUUUGAAGAUCAAAAACAACAAAAUUGAAUUCGUUGUUUGGGGGGAUAACGAUGAUCAGAAAGCUAAAAGGGAAGGCUCUCUGAUUUCAAAAGAGAGUGAUAGAGGAGAGAGAGAGAGAGGUUGGUGAAUGGUGAUGAUGGUGUUAUGAUGAGGGAAUGAUGAGUGGCGGAGACGAAGAUGGGCUUUUAAUAAGACACAACAGAAACAGGUCGUCAUUCCUAAACCCUAGCUUUUUCAAAAAUAUAUUUUAUUUAUUAUAAUAUCAAUGACGCAGUUACUGCUUAUAUUUUCGAAUGAGGUGACACGUCAUACGUUUAACUUGGCAAGAAAAAAAUU
rnacentral:misc_RNA from 1 species